rnacentral:rRNA from 1 species
CUCCUACGGGAGGCAGCAGUAGGGAAUUUUCGGCAAUGGGCGAAAGCCUGACCGAGCAAUGCCGCGUGAGUGAAGAAGGCCUUCGGGUUGUAAAGCUCUGUUGUAAAGGAAGAACGGAUGGCAUAGGGAAUGAUGCCAUUGUGACGGUACUUUACGAGGAAGUCACGGCUAACUACGUGCCAGCAGCCGCGGUAAUACGUAGGUGGCGAGCGUUAUCCGGAAUUAUUGGGCGUAAAGGGUGCGCAGGCGGCAAGAAAAGCUUAAGGUGAAAGCGUGGGGCUCAACCCCGGCUAGCCGUUGAAACU